rnacentral:rRNA from 1 species
GGGAGGUAGUGACAAUAAAUAACAAUACGGGGUUCUUUCGGAUCUCGUAAUUGGAAUGAGUACAAUUUAAAUCUCUUAACGAGGAACAAUUGGAGGGCAAGUCUGGUGCCAGCAGCCGCGGUAAUUCCAGCUCCAAUAGCGUAUAUUAAAGUUGUUGCAGUUAAAAAGCUCGUAGUUGAAUUUCGGGAUCAAUAUGUUGGUCGUGCCUUGGUACGUACUGGCGUCAUUGGUUUCUACCUUCUGAAGAACCUCGAUGUCAUUAAUUUGGUGUCUUGGGGAAUCAGGACUGUUACUUUGAAAAAAUUAGAGUGUUUAAAGCAGGCUCACGCUUGAAUACAUUAGCAUGGAAUAAUGAAAUAGGACGUUUGAUUCUAUUUUGUUGGUUUCUAGGAUCGACGUAAUGAUUAAUAGGGAUAGUUGGG